rnacentral:rRNA from 1 species
GACGAACGCUGGCGGCGUGCCUAAUACAUGCAAGUAGAACGCUGAAGAGAGGAGCUUGCUCUUCUUGGAUGAGUUGCGAACGGGUGAGUAACGCGUAGGUAACCUGCCUUGUAGCGGGGGAUAACUAUUGGAAACGAUAGCUAAUACCGCAUAAAAAUGGAUGACACAUGUCAUCUAUUUGAAAGUGGCAAUUGCUCCACUACAAGAUGGACCUGCGUUGUAUUAGCUAGUAGGUGAGGUAAUGGCUCACCUAGGCGACGAUACAUAGCCGACCUGAGAGGGUGGUCGGCCACAAUGGGAGUGGAGCACGGCCCAGACUCCUACGGGAGGCGGCCAUAGGGGAUCUUCGGCAAUGGGGGCAACACUGACCGCGCAACGCCGCGUUAGUGGAGAAGGUUUUCGGAUCGUAAAGCUCUGUUGUAAGUCGAGAACGAGUGUGAGCGUAGAAAGUUCACGCUGUGACGGUAGCUUACCAGAAAGGGACGGCUAACUACGUG